rnacentral:misc_RNA from 1 species
CCGAGUUAUACAACUCAUCAACCCUGUGAACAUACCUAAACGUUGCCUCGGCGGGAACAGACGGCCUCCGGGCCGCCCCCGCCAGAGGACCCCCUAUCUCUGUUUUUAUUAGUGUAUCUCUGAGUAACCAAGCAAAUAAAUUA